UCCUCAUUCCCACCUUCAACUUGGCAGUCCCGCUUCCGGACCACCCUCCAUCCCCCACUCAGGGCCUCCUGGGGUCCAGACCUCUGUCAGCUGUUUCUGAGCCUUUCUCCGAGGGCAGGGACCCAUCUGUUGUCACAGCAUCAAACUGGGACGUGGGAAAUUCCUUCUGCCAGGCCCCCUCUUCCUUCGAGACAAUGAAUGAGGAAUACGCCAGCUGCCUCAGUGGAUCAAGGACCAAGGAAAUGGGACUUUGAUCUGUUGUGUGCCUGGAGCGCGGAGAACAGCACGAGACACGCUGAAGGAGCAGGGGCCCAUGUUGCAGCAGGAUGCAGGGAAGCGGCAUGAUCAGACGUAUUUUGAAAACAUGAUUUGGUUGACUAAAAUACUUGGAACUGAACAAUAAUGGAAGACAGAAGGUUGUGUCCUAAGACCAGAGCAAUCCCUGCAGAGGGUACCUACUGCUGAGAAUGAGCAUGUAGUCAAUAAAAAUAAAGUGUGUGAGAACA